GACGAACGCUGGCGGCGUGCCUAAUACAUGCAAGUCGAACGAGAGCGACCGGUGCUUGCACUGUUCAAUCUAGUGGCGAACGGGUGAGUAACACGUGGGUAACCUGCCCAUCAGAGGGGGAUAACAUCCGGAAACGGAUGCUAAAACCGCAUAGGUCUUCGAACCGCAUGGUUUGAAGAGGAAAAGAGGCGCAAGCUUCUGCUGAUGGAUGGACCCGCGGUGCAUUAGCUAGUUGGUGAGGUAACGGCUCACCAAGGCCGUGAUGCAUAGCCGACCUGAGAGGGUGAUCGGCCACAUUGGGACUGAGACACGGCCCAAACUCCUACGGGAGGCAGCAGUAGGGAAUCUUCCGCAAUGGACGCAAGUCUGACGGAGCAACGCCGCGUGAGUGAAGAAGGUUUUCGGAUCGUAAAACUCUGUUGUUAGAGAAGAACAAGUGCUAGAGUAACUGUUAGCGCCUUGACGGUAUCUAACCAGAAAGCCACGGCUAACUACGUG
rnacentral:rRNA from 1 species